UACGUAGGGACCAAGCGUUGUCCGGAUUUAUUGGGCGUAAAGAGCUCGUAGGCGGUUCUGUAAGUCGAGUGUGAAAAAUCUGGGCUCAACCCAGUCUAGCACUCGAUACUGCAGUGACUGGAGUCCGGUAGGGGAGUGUGGAAUUCCUGGUGUAGCGGUGAAAUGCGCAGAUAUCAGGAGGAACACCAACAGCGAAGGCAGCACUCUGGGCCGGUACUGACGCUGAGGAGCGAAAGCGUGGGGAGCGAAC
rnacentral:rRNA from 1 species